GAAGUUUUGGUACCAUCUUGGUACUUUUUAAAAUAGAAGAGCUGGCCAUGAAGCAUUCGGUGGUACCCCAUAAAACUGACCAGCUUGUAAUGUACCCAUCCUACAUGGGCAGAAGAACUAUAAAAGUUGGAGUCCCCAGAAUAACACCAGGUAUCAACAUGUGGAGGCACAUGGGAUGUGUGAUCAUGGAGGGCAGCAACACCUUCAUCCUUAAAGUCUAACAGAUGCAAAGAGAAGACUGGAUUGGGAAGGAUUUGAAAAUGCUAAUCCAAAUAAAACCACAAGACUAGGUGGACAUCCCAGACCAUGUCUGCCUCAAAGAAGGGACAAAAUUAUAUUUGAUCACUGAGGGCAGGAGGCCUCAUUGCUUUGCUUGUGGUGAAGCAACACACUUACAAGCACAUUGCCCUCAAUGAAAAGUUAGAGGGGCCCAUGGACCUCCAUUGACAUCAACACCAAGGCUGGGAAAACAAAAAAUAGCACCAGCUGUAGAAAGAUCACCACCAAUAACAUGGAAAGCAGCAACAAUGGUGACAAUGGUGGCAGUGGCGGUGACAUGCAUAAG